rnacentral:rRNA from 1 species
UACGUAGGUGGCGAGCGUUGUCCGGAUUUACUGGGCGUAAAGGGAGCGUAGGCGGACUUUUAAGUGGGAUGUGAAAUACCCGGGCUCAACUUGGGUGCUGCAUUUCAAACUGGAAGUCUAGAGUGCAGGAGAGGAGAAUGGAAUUCCUAGUGUAGCGGUGAAAUGCGUAGAGAUUAGGAAGAACACCAGUGGCGAAGGCGAUUCUCUGGACUGUAACUGACGCUGAGGCUCGAAAGCGUGGGGAGCAAACAGGAUUAGAUACCCUGGUA